UCUCCGUAGGUGAACCUGCGGAGGGAUCAUCACAGAGUUCUCGCCCUCACGGGUAGAUCUCCCACCCACUGUUAUCGUUACUGUCGUUUCUUUGGCGGGCCGCCGGGUCCCCGGCCGCCGGCGCCUAGCUGCCGGCGCGCGCCCGCCAGAGGCCUUCAAACUCUGAAUGUUAGUGUCGUCUGAGUACUAUAUAAUAGUUAAAACUUUCAACAACGGAUCUCUUGGUUCUG
rnacentral:misc_RNA from 1 species